rnacentral:rRNA from 1 species
ACGAACGCUGGCGGCGUGCUUAACACAUGCAAGUCGAGCGGUAAGGCCCUUCGGGGUACACGAGCGGCGAACGGGUGAGUAACACGUGAGCAAUCUGCCCUGCACUUUGGGAUAACCUCCGGAAACGGUGGCUAAUACCGAAUAUGACUACAUGCUGCAUGGUGUGUGGUGGAAAGUUCUGGCGGUGCAGGAUGAGCUCGCGGCCUAUCAGCUUGUUGGUGAGGUAAUGGCUCACCAAGGCUUCGACGGGUAGCCGGCCUGAGAGGGUGACCGGCCACACUGGGACUGAGACACGGCCCAGACUCCUACGGGAGGCAGCAGUGGGGAAUAUUGGACAAUGGGCGAAAGCCUGAUCCAGCAACGCCGCGUGAGGGAUGACGGCCUUCGGGUUGUAAACCUCUUUCAGCGCAGACGAAGCGAAAGUGACGGUAUGCGCAGAAGAAGCACCGGCCAACUACGU